CUACGGGCCGCACCAGUGGGGAAUUUUGCGCAAUGGGGGAAACCCUGACGCAGCAAUACCGCGUGAGUGAAGAAGGCCUUUGGGUCGUAAAGCUCUUUUCUUGGGGAAGAUAGUGACGGUACCCAAGGAAUAAGCACCGGCUAACUCCGUGCCAGCAGCCGCGGUAAUACGGAGGGUGCAAGCGUUGUUCGGAUUUACUGGGCGUAAAGGGCACGUAGGCGGCACAGCAAGUUAAGGGUGAAAUCCCGGGGCUCAACUCCGGAACUGCUCUUAAAACUGCUGAGCUAGAGAUAGUCAGAGGCGGGUGGAAUUCCAGGUGUAGAGGUGAAAUUCGUAGAUAUCUGGAGGAAUACCGGUGGCGAAGGCGGCCCGCUGGGGCUAUUCUGACGCUAAGGUGCGAAAGCGUGGGGAGCAAACGGGAUUAGAUACCCCAGUAGUC
rnacentral:rRNA from 1 species